CCUACGGGUGGCAGCAGUGAGGAAUAUUGGUCAAUGGGCUUACGCCUGAACCAGCCAAGUCGCGUGAGGGAAGACUGCCCUAUGUGUUGUAAACCUCUUUUGUCAGGGAGCAACGCCGGCUACGCGUAGCCGGACUGAGAGUACCGGAAGAAAAAGCAUCGGUUAACUCCGUGCCAGCAGCCGCGGUAAUACGGAGGAUGCGAGUGUUUUCCGGAUUUAUUGGGUUUAAAGGGUGCGUAGGCGGAAUGCCAAGUCAGCGGAAAAACCGCGGGGCCCAACCUCGCUCCGCCGUUGAAACUGGCGGUCUUGAGUGGGCGAGAAGUAUGCGGAAUGCGUGGUGUAGCGGUGAAAUGCAUAGAUAUCGCGCAGAACUCCGAUUGCGAAGGCAGCAUACCGGCGCCAAACUGACGCUGAAGCACGAAAGCGUGGGUAUCGAACAGGAUUAGAUACCCGGGUAGUC
rnacentral:rRNA from 1 species